GGGUUGUGAGGUUAAGCGACUAAGCGUACACGGUGGAUGCCCUGGCAGUCAGAGGCGAUGAAGGACGUGCUAAUCUGCGAUAAGCGUCGGUAAGGUGAUAUGAACCGUUAUAACCGGCGAUUUCCGAAUGGGGAAACCCAGUGUGUUUCGACACACUAUCAUUAACUGAAUCCAUAGGUUAAUGAGGCGAACCGGGGGAACUGAAACAUCUAAGUACCCCGAGGAAAAGAAAUCAACCGAGAUUCCCCCAGUAGCGGCGAGCGAACGGGGAGGAGCCCAGAGCCUGAAUCAGUGUGUGUGUUAGUGGAAGCGUCUGGAAAGGCGCGCGAUACAGGGUGACAGCCCCGUACACAAAAAUGCACAUAUUGUGAGCUCGAUGAGUAGGGCGGGACACGUGGUAUCCUGUCUGAAUAUGGGGGGACCAUCCUCCAAGGCUAAAUACUCCUGACUGACCGAUAGUGAACCAGUACCGUGAGGGAAAGGCGAAAAGAACCCCGGCGAGGGGAGUGAAAAAGAACCUGAAACCGUGUACGUACAAGCAGUGGGAGCACGCUUCGGCGUGUGACUGCGUACCUUUUGUAUAAUGGGUCAGCGACUUAUAUUCUGUAGCAAGGUUAACCGAAUAGGGGAGCCGAAGGGAAACCGAGUCUUAACUGGGCGUUAAGUUGCAGGGUAUAGACCCGAAACCCGGUGAUCUAGCCAUGGGCAGGUUGAAGGUUGGGUAACACUAACUGGAGGACCGAACCGACUAAUGUUGAAAAAUUAGCGGAUGACUUGUGGCUGGGGGUGAAAGGCCAAUCAAACCGGGAGAUAGCUGGUUCUCCCCGAAAGCUAUUUAGGUAGCGCCUCGUGAAUUCAUCUCCGGGGGUAGAGCACUGUUUCGGCAAGGGGGUCAUCCCGACUUACCAACCCGAUGCAAACUGCGAAUACCGGAGAAUGUUAUCACGGGAGACACACGGCGGGUGCUAACGUCCGUCGUGAAGAGGGAAACAACCCAGACCGCCAGCUAAGGUCCCAAAGUCAUGGUUAAGUGGGAAACGAUGUGGGAAGGCCCAGACAGCCAGGAUGUUGGCUUAGAAGCAGCCAUCAUUUAAAGAAAGCGUAAUAGCUCACUGGUCGAGUCGGCCUGCGCGGAAGAUGUAACGGGGCUAAACCAUGCACCGAAGCUGCGGCAGCGACGCUGAUGCGUUGUUGGGUAGGGGAGCGUUCUGUAAGCCUGUGAAGGUGUGCUGUGAGGCAUGCUGGAGGUAUCAGAAGUGCGAAUGCUGACAUAAGUAACGAUAAAGCGGGUGAAAAGCCCGCUCGCCGGAAGACCAAGGGUUCCUGUCCAACGUUAAUCGGGGCAGGGUGAGUCGACCCCUAAGGCGAGGCCGAAAGGCGUAGUCGAUGGGAAACAGGUUAAUAUUCCUGUACUUGGUGUUACUGCGAAGGGGGGACGGAGAAGGCUAUGUUGGCCGGGCGACGGUUGUCCCGGUUUAAGCGUGUAGGCUGGUUUUCCAGGCAAAUCCGGAAAAUCAAGGCUGAGGCGUGAUGACGAGGCACUACGGUGCUGAAGCAACAAAUGCCCUGCUUCCAGGAAAAGCCUCUAAGCAUCAGGUAACAUCAAAUCGUACCCCAAACCGACACAGGUGGUCAGGUAGAGAAUACCAAGGCGCUUGAGAGAACUCGGGUGAAGGAACUAGGCAAAAUGGUGCCGUAACUUCGGGAGAAGGCACGCUGAUAUGUAGGUGAAGUCCCUCGCGGAUGGAGCUGAAAUCAGUCGAAGAUACCAGCUGGCUGCAACUGUUUAUUAAAAACACAGCACUGUGCAAACACGAAAGUGGACGUAUACGGUGUGACGCCUGCCCGGUGCCGGAAGGUUAAUUGAUGGGGUCAGCGCAAGCGAAGCUCUUGAUCGAAGCCCCGGUAAACGGCGGCCGUAACUAUAACGGUCCUAAGGUAGCGAAAUUCCUUGUCGGGUAAGUUCCGACCUGCACGAAUGGCGUAAUGAUGGCCAGGCUGUCUCCACCCGAGACUCAGUGAAAUUGAACUCGCUGUGAAGAUGCAGUGUACCCGCGGCAAGACGGAAAGACCCCGUGAACCUUUACUAUAGCUUGACACUGAACAUUGAGCCUUGAUGUGUAGGAUAGGUGGGAGGCUUGGAAGUGUGGACGCCAGUCUGCAUGGAGCCGACCUUGAAAUACCACCCUUUAAUGUUUGAUGUUCUAACGUUGACCCGUGAUCCGGGUUGCGGACAGUGUCUGGUGGGUAGUUUGACUGGGGCGGUCUCCUCCUAAAGAGUAACGGAGGAGCACGAAGGUUGGCUAAUCCUGGUCGGACAUCAGGAGGUUAGUGCAAUGGCAUAAGCCAGCUUGACUGCGAGCGUGACGGCGCGAGCAGGUGCGAAAGCAGGUCAUAGUGAUCCGGUGGUUCUGAAUGGAAGGGCCAUCGCUCAACGGAUAAAAGGUACUCCGGGGAUAACAGGCUGAUACCGCCCAAGAGUUCAUAUCGACGGCGGUGUUUGGCACCUCGAUGUCGGCUCAUCACAUCCUGGGGCUGAAGUAGGUCCCAAGGGUAUGGCUGUUCGCCAUUUAAAGUGGUACGCGAGCUGGGUUUAGAACGUCGUGAGACAGUUCGGUCCCUAUCUGCCGUGGGCGCUGGAGAACUGAGGGGGGCUGCUCCUAGUACGAGAGGACCGGAGUGGACGCAUCACUGGUGUUCGGGUUGUCAUGCCAAUGGCACUGCCCGGUAGCUAAAUGCGGAAGAGAUAAGUGCUGAAAGCAUCUAAGCACGAAACUUGCCCCGAGAUGAGUUCUCCCUGACUCCUUGAGAGUCCUGAAGGAACGUUGAAGACGACGACGUUGAUAGGCCGGGUGUGUAAGCGCAGCGAUGCGUUGAGCUAACCGGUACUAAUGAACCGUGAGGCUUAACCUUACAACGCCGAAGGUGUUU
rnacentral:rRNA from 1 species